rnacentral:rRNA from 1 species
GACAGCAGUAGCCACGGUAAUACGUAGGGCGCAAGCGUUAUCCGGAAUUAUUGGGCGUAAAGAGCUCGUAGGCGGUUUGUCGCGUCUGCCGUGAAAGUCCGGGGCUCAACCCCGGAUCUGCGGUGGGUACGGGCAGACUAGAGUGAUGUAGGGGAGACUGGAAUUCCUGGUGUAGCGGUGAAAUGCGCAGAUAUCAGGAGGAACACCGAUGGCGAAGGCAGGUCUCUGGGCAUUAACUGACGCUGAGGAGCGAAAGCAUGGGGAGCGAACAGGAUUAGAUACCCGCGUAGUCCCUGUCUCUUAUAC